AUCCCAUGUUGAGGUCACUCGAGUAUGUAAUCUUGAAAGCGCUCCAAAGCUUCUAGGACUGUCUCAUCAUGUUGUUGCUAAAAGCUCAAUAUCUUCCCACGCAGAGCAU
rnacentral:snoRNA from 1 species